ACCGUCUUUUCCAAUGGCCUGGUGAUUAAAGAGAAAAGGGUUUUGGUGUUCCUCGCUGGUGAGUGCUGAGUGCUGACCACACCAAUCGCUCUUCUCCCUGCCCCAGGAGGAGCUGCGAGGAUUUUUGCGGCUCCCCUCCAUUGAUGGCUUCUCUUCUUCUCCCUCCGCAGCUCACUUGUUCCCUGCCCUCUUAUCAUCGCAUCAGGGGUCAAAUACAUUACAAAACAAACAUUUUGGGCAAGAACAUGGCUAAGCAUACAUUGCGGUUGCUUAACCAAACUGUGAAUGCUGCGUCAAGGACUUCUCAAAAUGCUGUGGAAGGUUCAAGGGAUGAAGAUAGUGACAGUGAAACUUCAACUAAAAAGAAAAGAGCUUCAAGACGUGGGAGAAAGAAAGCCUCCACAGAAACAUUGGAAGGUGAAAGAGAAGAAAGCCAAAUAAGCUCUGAACAAGAAUCCCCUGAAGAGACUAAGAAAGUUAAGAGGCGAGGCCGUAAGAAAGCUGCUACUACUGCAAGCUCAGAGGAGGAGAUGGACAAGGCAAAGGAGCCAAAGAAGAGGGGAAGAAGAAAAGUUAAGACUACAGAGGAAUCUAGUGACAAUGAAGGAGAUGACCAGGGCAAAGAUCUGAUGCCCUCUAAUGAAAGAGAAGAUCAGACUGUGAUAAAGAAUUUGGCCAAUGACCUGGAAACUAAAAUAGAGUUAGCAUUGCAUGAAGAUAUUGGAGAGGUUGAUAGUUUAAUGCCACUAGUGUGCUGCUUUGGACCUGCUAAAUACUCAUUUAUUCCUUCUGGAAGACCUGCUAACAGGCUGAUAGAUCAUGAGAUUCAUGAUAGAAUGAAGGACAUGUUUUGGUCUCCAGAUGAAUUUAUGAGGGCACCAGGAGGGCCUUCAUCCAAUGUUGCUCUAGCUUUAGCAGCGAUUGGUGGCAGGGUUGCAUUCAUGGGAAAAUUAGGUGAUGAUGAGUAUGGUCAAAGUUUGCUGUACCACUUAAACGUCAAUGGAGUUCAAACACGAGCAAUCUGUAUGGAUCCUUCAGCGCCAACUGCCGUGUCCUUGAUGAAGAUCACAAGCAAAGGCAGUCUCAAGACAAACUGUGUUAAACCUUGCGCUGAGGAUUAUUUUCUGCAGUCUGAUAUCAACCCAGCAGUUCUAAAGGAGGCUAAGAUGUUUUACUAUAAUUCAUCAGCUUUGCUUGAGCCCACUACACAGUCAUCAUUGUUAAAAGCCAUUGAUGUUUCAAAGAAAUUUGGUGGUAUAAUAUUUUUUGAUCUUAAUCUUCCACUUCCACUAUGGUCAUCCAGUAAGGAAACCAUGUCGCUCAUCAAGGAUGCAUGGGAAGCUGCCGAUAUUAUUGAAGUCACGAAACAAGAACUCGAGUUUCUCUGCGAUAUUAAACCAUCUGAGAAAUUUGACACAAGUGAUAAUGAUAAGUCCAAAUUUACACACUACAGUCCAGAAGUUAUUAUGAAAUUGUGGCAUGAUAAUCUCAAGGUCCUCUUUGUGACAAACGGUACCUCCAAGAUUCACUAUUACACAGAAAAGCACAAUGGCUGGGUUCGUGGGACAGAAGAUGCACCGAUCACUCCUUUCACCAGUGAAAUGUCACAAUUGGGUGAUGCCAUUGUUGCAGCCCUCAUGAGGAUGCUGGCAAUUAACCCUCACCUGGUCACAGACAAGGAUUACUUGCACAAGGCAGUUAAACAUGCUAUUAAAUGUGGUGUCAUCGAUCAGUGGGUGCUUGCACGAGAGCGGGGCUUCCUUCCCAAAGAGAGAGCAGAUCCAACCAGUGAGCAAUAUGAAGUGAGGUCCAUCACAGAGAGGGAAUAUCGCACGCUUUCUGAUGCCUUGCAAUCAGAAAACUUGUCAACCAGUGAACUUGCAUACGUGGAGUGAAAGGAGAGGCCAUCAGCGUCUAUAUACUGGAUUCCUAUAUUUAUUACGGAAACUGGCUGCGGUUAGCUGAAGUUGGGAUUCAGAAGUAUUAGCAUAAACCUGCAAUUUUUAGGUUAAUAGCCUCAAAAAUCGCUGCCAUAUGGAAGUCACUAAUAACCGUGGAAUGGAGCCCCUUUGGUGUUAUCGGCUAUGCUUUUUGUAUAUCCAGUGUAUCUAUGUGACAGAACUGAGCAGCAUGUUUCUUUUUCAGGUAAAAUAUUUUUUUUUAAACACAGGAAUUACAGAUUUAUUGUGGCCUAAAUUGAGUCUGCAGUUGGGUGUUCUAUGCCUUGCAAGUUGCAACAAGGCAUGAAGGAUACUUGUCCUUGUUUCACAAUUGUGCAUCACUGAACAGGGUGAACAUGGAGGACUUGUAAUUCUUCAAGCAGAACUCUAAUCUUAGAUGGACAUCCUAGACAGAUCACUGGAUUCAGAAGGCAUUCAUCGACCAGCAAAUAUCGAAGAAUGGCUCUUAGCGGCCACCACCUCUCCGAUUCCAACUGCCCUAUUGUACCUCUUCGGUUUUAACUGCCCUAUCCUUGUUGCCCGUCGGCGGGAGCUUCGUUCUUCGUCACCUAUCCAUGUUUGCUAGCUGUUACUGCCUUUUCUGGCAUUGACGCUGCGGAUACCGAACAUGCAUGGUGGGAGGGCUUGGAUCCUCUCCUCGCGAGGAAAGGUCGAGGAAAGGUCUUGCUGCUCCACUGUGGUGUCCGAGAUGGGUCGUUGUUGGCGCCGGCUCGGUGUCGUCCCUCAACCUCCUAUCUGCUCACUGAGCAUAUUGGUGCUGCGGAAGAAAAAGUGGGGAGCUCUUUGAUAUUCCCGGUGUCUCUAAUUCCUGAUUUAUCUGGGAUCCAUACCAUGGACACCAUGGGCUAUCUUUCCUUCCCCGGUCUUCCAUCUCAUGGUCACUGGCAGCGACCACAGGAGGAUGUAUAUAUGUUGCUGAGACAUCAGCGGUGUUGGUUGCGCUUAUAAAACUGAUGGGAACUCAUUGAGGCCCGUUACAAUCAGCAGCAUCACUCUUUGCACCAUGAAA